rnacentral:tRNA from 1 species
GGAGGGUAGCGUACUGGGUACAAAGCGGUCUUGAAAACCGUGCCAGCGGAAACGCUGAGGGUUCGACUCCUUUACUCUCCGCCA